UUUCUUUUUAUAAUAAUCUUGUCGGUUUUUCUUUUUAGGUAUUAUAAUUUUGUCAUUAGCAUAAUUUUUCUAUACGAUUUCGCGAAUAUUGUAAUCGUAGUUUUGCGAAUACUCAUCAAAUCAUCAAUUGUGAUCGAAAAAGAAAAGGAGACACGUGAUUGUGGCAGCUAAAUUAAUCUUCGAGUUAGAAUCAAUCCAACAUGUCCGAUAAAAGCUCGCACGUUCCUGUAACUGAUACCGUUUGCUUGACCAAAUUGAAUUAUAGAAAAUGUACGUAUUUAUGGAUCAUUGAAAACUACUCAUUUCAUGAUAAAAGGAAACUUGUAUUGAAAUCGUUGCCAUUUUCGGCGCAUGACGACAAAUUCAAAUGGCGUGUACAUCUUAAUCCCGUUUACGAAUCCAACUCUUACGUUUCCUUACAAGUGCAUCCGUCAGAAGAAUGUUCUAAUUUCGCUGAACACAGCCCGAUUAUGGGAACUUUGAAAUUCGCUAUAAUAGACGCUGAAAACAUUCCCGAUUCCAAUACUCCUGACUCUAUUGAAUUAGCGACCUAGAUUGCCAGCUAUACGAUUUUUACCGGCUUUUUUGAAAUUGGAAAGUUAUUUUGAUUCGUAAUUUGCUUACAUUCAAUUUCCGACUCCGAUUUCGAUUCCACUCUUGGCUCUGAUUCCGAUUCCAAUCAUAAUUUCUGCAAUAUCUUUAUCACGGUUUCUCAAUAAGAUGUUUAUGGCUACAUAAUACGAUUCUCGUCGUGUAGUUAAGGCAUUCCUGCUCAUCACAAAAUUGAUGGUGACUUUUCAUGCUGAAAUUUCCGUUAACAAUGCUGCAGCCUCUCCAAAUGAACCGAUUUGGGUGAUAUUUUGCACAGUAAUAUCCGUUUGCAAAAAUCUACCAAUUAAUAUUACAACGUCGAUUGGCGUUGUUUAAUAGUAUUUUUUUGGGUAGUAACAGUAACCGGCAAAUAUAUUUUCAACGGAUAAUUACCGCGCAUCCAAAAAUGAACUUUGGCACCUAAAAUUUGGGUAAUAUUUGAAAACGAAGCUAUUGAUAAACAACUAGAUUUUGUAAAAUUUCAAAUGCUCUUAUCCCUAGCCCUAGUAGAAAAAAUCACAGACACCUCCGAUUUGUGUCUCUCAUCAUUUGAUGACUUUUAAAUACGCAAAGACAACAUGCAAAAUAUUAAAAAUAUCGAGGAUUCGUCGUUUAAUUUUUUAUUUUAUAUUUAACAUGGAAUUUCCAAGUAUGAACUUACAAGUGUAAACAACCCACAGUCUGCAUAUAGUACAUGCAUUUCUUCAAGGAGCAUACGGUGGUGGUUUUUCAUUCAUGCCAACAGAUUGAGGCAUGUAGUAAGGUGCAGAUGGCAUUGCAGUUUGAGCAUACUCAUUAGGCGGAUACAUUAAACAUGGCUCACCAUGAGUGACAACAGGAGCAUAAGGAGGUUGCGUAGCAUACGGAGAAUUUACGUAAGAAACCGACUGCAAAUUUUGAUCAUUCGGACAUGGAGCAGAUGCAGAAGGAGAUGAUGCAGUUUGUGUCGAUGUCGUGAUUAUAACGCCUGAUAUUCCAUGUUCGCGUCCAUCCUCUCCUUUUGAUACUUGGCUGUAGAAACUGAAGAUAAUCGCGCAAGCGUAAUAAUGGUAAAC